rnacentral:rRNA from 1 species
CGGACGGGUGAGUAAUGUCUGGGAAACUGCCCGAUGGGAGGGGGUAACUACUGGAAACGGUAGCUAAUACCGCAUAACGUCGCAAGACCAAAGAGGGGACCUUCGGGCCUCUUGCCAUCGGAUGUGCCCAGAUGGGAUUAGCUAGUAGGUGGGGUAACGGCUCACCUAGGCGACGAUCCCUAGCUGGUCUGAGAGGAUGACCAGCCACACUGGAACUGAGACACGGUCCAG